rnacentral:rRNA from 1 species
AUUGAACGCUGGCGGCAUGCCUUACAUAUGCAAGUCGAACGGCAGCACGGGAGCAAUCCUGGUGGCGAGUGGCGAACGGGUGAGUAAUAUAUCGGAACGUGCCCGGUCGUGGGGGAUAACGUAGCGAAAGCUACGCUAAUACCGCAUACGAUCUACGGAUGAAAGCGGGGAUCGCAAGACCUCGCGCGAUUGGAGCGGCCGAUAUCAGAUUAGGUAGUUGGUGAGGUAAAGGCUCACCAAGCCGACGAUCUGUAGCUGGUCUGAGAGGACGACCAGCCACACUGGGACUGAGACACGGCCCAGACUCCUACGGGAGGCAGCAGUGGGGAAUUUUGGACAAUGGGCGCAAGCCUGAUCCAGCAAUGCCGCGUGCAGGAUGAAGGCCUUCGGGUUGUAAACUGCUUUUGUACGGAACGAAACGGUGAGCUCUAAUACAGUUUGCUAAUGACGGUACCGUAAGAAUAAGCACCGGCUAACUACGUG